rnacentral:rRNA from 1 species
GUGGGGAAUAUUGGACAAUGGGCGAAAGCCUGAUCCAGCCAUGCCGCGUGUGUGAAGAAGGUCUUCGGAUUGUAAAGCACUUUAAGUUGGGAGGAAGGGCAGUAAGUUAAUACCUUGCUGUUUUGACGUUACCGACAGAAUAAGCACCGGCUAACUUCGUGCCAGCAGCCGCGGUAAUACGAAGGGUGCAAGCGUUAAUCGGAAUUACUGAGCGUAAAGCGCGCGUAGGUGGUUUUGUAAGUUGGAGGUGAAAUCCCCGGGCUCAACCUGGGAACUGCCUUCAAAACUGCAUGACUAGAGUACGGUAGAGGGUAGUGGAAUUUCCUGUGUAGCGGUGAAAUGCGUAGAUAUAGGAAGGAACACCAGUGGCGAAGGCGACUACCUGGACUGAUACUGACACUGAGGUGCGAAAGCGUGGGGAGCAAACAGGAUUAGAUACCCUAGUAGUCC